rnacentral:rRNA from 1 species
GACGAACGCUGGCGGCGUGCCUAAUACAUGCAAGUUGAGCGCUGAAGGUUGGUACUUGUACCAACUGGAUGAGCAGCGAACGGGUGAGUAACGCGUGGGGAAUCUGCCUUUGAGCGGGGGACAACAUUUGGAAACGAAUGCUAAUACCGCAUAAAAACUUUAAACACAAGUUUUAAGUUUGAAAGAUGCAAUUGCAUCACUCAAAGAUGAUCCCGCGUUGUAUUAGCUAGUUGGUGAGGUAAAGGCUCACCAAGGCGAUGAUACAUAGCCGACCUGAGAGGGUGAUCGGCCACAUUGGGGCUGAGACACGGCCCAAACUCCUACGGGAGGCAGCAGUAGGGAAUCUUCGGCAAUGGACGAAAGUCUGACCAAGCAACGCCGCGUGAGUGAAGAAGGUUUUCGGAUCGUAAAACUCUGUUGGUAGAGAAGAACGUUGGUGAGAGUGGAAAGCUCAUCAAGUGACGGUAACUACCCAGAAAGGGACGGCUAACUACGUG